rnacentral:misc_RNA from 1 species
GUGAAUCAUCAAAUUUUUGAACGCAAAUUGCACUCUUUUCGGAGAGAAUGCCUGUUUGAGGGUCAGCCUAUAAAAAAUCUACAUCGUUGCUGUUUCCCGGUGACGUUCGUCGGAAAUUGGGUCAUCUUACUUCUCUUGGGUUUAAGCGACUCAAAAUUUUCUUUUUGAUUCCAUGACAGUGUUUCUAAGUUUUAUUUCUUGACACGUUCAAGGUAUAGAGUU